rnacentral:rRNA from 1 species
GUAGGUGGCAAGCGUUGUCCGGAAUUAUUGGGCGUAAAGCGCGCGCAGGCGGUUCGUUUAAGUCUGAUGUGAAAGCCCACGGGCUCAACCGUGAGGGUCAUUGGAAACUGGAGAACUUGAGUACAGAAGAGGAAAGCGGAAUUCCACGUGUAGCGGUGAAAUGCGUAGAGAUGUGGAGGAACACCAGUGGCGAAGGCGGCGUUUCUGGUCUGUAACUGACGCUGAGGCGCGAAAGCGUGGGGAGCAAACAGGAUUAGAUACCCUGGUAGUCCACGCCGUAAACGAUGAGUGCUAAGUGUUAGGGGGGUUUCCGCCCCUUAGUGCUGCAGCUAACGCAUUAAGCACUCCGCCUGGGGAGUACGGCCGCAAAGGCUG